rnacentral:lncRNA from 1 species
GGUCUACCUGGAAAUCCAGGGGAAAGAGGACCUCCUGGAAAACCAGUACGUAACUUCAUUUCUAUGUUACAUCCCCAAAAGAUGUCCCACUGUUGUUCUGUUCUCUGUUUUAUCUCAGUUUGCACCUGUAUAUGUCACCUCAAGUCCAAUUCAGUGCUUUUUCCUUGAUGCUCUUAGGAAAAAUACUAAAAACCAUUAAAGUGUUAAGAUAAAAAUAUCUGUGAUGGUUUUGGAACAGUAUGAAAAUAACUGGAUGGCCUGCAUGCAAAUAAAAGACAAAAUUUUUAAGCCAGUUUCUUAACACCACUAAGCAAUACAAUGAGCAAGAAUGUGAGCAAGAAUGCAAAGAGCUCAACUCAUCUCACAUGAUGAAGCGUAUUGAUAAUGUAAAGGAGCAUGUAUGGUUUUGGCCCAAAUUGAAACCAGGGCAUAGGCACGUUCAGAAAAAUUUCUUACUUUGAUGCCUUUUAAAGUUGCCUGAGAUAAUUAAUUUCUCAUUCCACAGGGCUCCUCACCCCUGCUCUCUCCAGAGGACAUCAAUCUCUUAGUAAAGGAUGUGUGCAGUGAGUGCCCUCCUGGCCCACCAGGACUACCAGGCAUUCCAGGCUUCAAAGGUGAUAAAGGUCUCCGAGGACCACCAGGUAGAGAUGGCCAGGAUGGGAAAAUGGGAAAUGCUGGUCCCAGAGGUCCUGCAGGCCCACCUGGGCUGGAUGGUCCAAAGGGUGCUAAAGGAGACCGUGGUACAACUGGGGAUGCAGGAGAAAAAGGAGAACAGGUAAAAAUUGCGUAUGUUUUCCAACAGUGUCAUCACUGUGACUCCUUCUUCGUCAAUAGCUGCUAUAAUGCUGGUAGAGGAACACAUUUCUUAGAGACAGAAGAGGAAGAGGGGAAGAGCUCUCCAUCACUGCUAAACCUCAGAUGGGCUUCCCUUCCCCUUUCCAGCAAAAUAUUUCCCUGUCUAGUUUUGGUGGAUUCCCGAAUGACUCCCAGAUGAUCCUCACCUCUACGUUGGAUACAUUCAGUUCCCUACAGUAGCCAACUUCUGGUCAUUUCCUCAGCUAAUUCCUAGAUGAGAUCUAGGCAAUUAUGUGUCCCUGGGCUGAAAAAGCCAGUGUUGCUAUUUAUCCUGGAAGAAGAGUGUAAGGGUGGCCUCUUUUAGGAGGGAUUGAGAUGCCACAGAAAAGACAAUACUCUAAAUUGGAGCAAACUUUUACACUUUUUUUGCCAAGGGCUGAGUCAGUAGUUUAAGGUGCAAAUCAGCACAUCUUCAAUGAGAUCUGUAGGAUAUUUUAAACAGCAUCGAUUUCCAGCCUGGUUUUGUGCUUUGUCCAGUCCCACAAUGUUUGCUCUCAGCUCCUGUUAACAUACCAUGAAAUACACAUUAGAGAAAGUACACCCUGGACAUAAGUGUAUCUAUUUCUGAAGUGCGUGUUUUGGAAACUAAGGCUUUGAUUUUAAAAGCUGUGGUUCAUUACUUCCUUAUAACUAGCUCCCUGUGUAUUGUCUCAUUUUGAUUUUACCUCCCAGUGCCCAAUGACCAGUUAACUUAUAUACAAUUAGAAAUGUGAAUGAUGUAUAAAAUCUCUCCUUUUGUUUUUCAGGGCCAUCCUGGGAUGCCCGGCUUCGCAGGGGCUCCUGGAAAUCCUGGUCCUCCUGUAAGUUCUUCUGUUGCAAAGCAGAUGGUCUGGUAUUUUCCUUACUAAUAAAGGUAGUUGCAGCAAGGAACGUUCUCA